UACGGAGGGGGCAAGCGUUGUUCGGAAUUACUGGGCGUAAAGGGCGCGCAGGCGGCUGCUCAAGUCAGGCGUGAAAGGCCUGGGCUCAACCCGGGAAUUGCGCUUGAGACUGGGCUGGCUUGAGUGCGGGAGAGGAUGGUGGAAUUCCCAGUGUAGAGGUGAAAUUCGUAGAUAUUGGGAAGAACACCGGUGGCGAAGGCGGCCAUCUGGACCGAAACUGACGCUGAGGCGCGAAAGCGUGGGGAGCAAACAGG
rnacentral:rRNA from 1 species